rnacentral:tRNA from 1 species
GGGGUUGUGGCUCAUUGGUAGAGCGCUUACCUAGCAUGUGUGAGGCACUGGGUUCGAUUUUCAGCACCACA